UUUUUACAUCUUGUGGGGUCUUUUACGGGUAUAACCUUCUUUCAUAAAUGGAGUAUUGUCUCCAAAAAAAGCAGAAAGUAAAUGUUGCAAUUUUCUUUCAGUUCUUUGCGAAAGCAGUGAAAAAGGGAAAUAAUUUAAGAGAUACUUAAGUCAGCCACAUCGUUCACGGGGAUAGGAGCAGAUCUUUGAUUAGUCUUCUAUCUGUGUCCAUUUGAAACACUUAGCUACCCGGAGAAGAAACUCUCGGUAACUUAAUCCAAUAAUUCACGCAGAAAGUGAUUGUCGCUCCGCCUUUGCUGACUACGGGCAUGAUAUUGGCGAAAGGAGUUUUAAAAAGUUUCAAAGGUUUUAAUUAUGGCAAUCAGCGCCAUAUUGUAGAAAAAUCUCCUUAUCGCGUCAGCAAUCAUGUGAUGAUAUAGCUUGUAUUCAUUGGCUUGUUCUUUUUUAACGGAUUGAUCGGAGAAUUGAUAAGAAAGAAUGGAAAAAUUAACUUAAUUUUCAUAGAAAGAAGCAAUGGAUCUAAUUCUGGUGCUAAAAAAGAUAUUAUUUUUAGUGAAUUUAAAUUUAAUUUGCAAAAGAGUCCACGGGAAUAUUUCAAGCCAGACAUCGUGUGCAGGUAAGCUUUUACUUUUGCCUUUUACUUUUGCCGACUUCUAUGUGUGUGAGAUUGUAAAUGAUAAAGAGAUCUCCAAACAUUAUACCUGGCCAAAAAUGCAAAUCUAAAUCUAAUAGAUGGAAUAUUUGCCUACAUCAAACAACUAAAUUUUCAUUUAGAUCGCUUUGAUAUCUUUCCUUUCUUUUAUUUCUGAGGCGAUUUUUUCCGACACAUAAAUUAAACAAAUAAUCAAUUAAUUAAUUGCUUGGCAUCAUUUUGAUAAUUAAUAUAGUGAUAUUGUUUUAUAAAAAUUUUAUCUGUUUGUAUGAUUUAUCCUGACCGAUAUUCUAGAAAUUUUCUCUUAUUUUGACAAUUUAAAAAAAAACCACAUGUCUCUUUUGAUGCCAGUC
rnacentral:misc_RNA from 1 species